AUUCCAGCUCCAAUAGCGUAUAUUUAAGUUGUUGCAGUUAAAAAGCUCGUAGUUGGAUUUUGGGUCGGGGGUACCGGUCCGGUGUUUCACUGUGCACUGGUCUCCCCUUCCUUUCUGCCGGGGACGGCGUUUGCUCUUUACUGAGCGGCGUCGGAGUCGGCGUUGUUACUUUGAAAAAAUUAGAGUGUUCAAAGCAAGCCAUCGCUCUGAAUACAUUAGCAUGGAAUAACAUGAUAGGACUCUGGUCUUAUUUUGUUGGUUUCCGAGACUGGAGUAAUGAUUAAGAGGGACAGUCGGGGGCAUCCGUAUUUCAUUGUCAGAGGUGAAAUUCUUGGAUUUAUGAAAGACGAACUUCUGCGAAAGCAUUUGCCAAGGAUGUUUUCAUUG
rnacentral:rRNA from 1 species